rnacentral:rRNA from 1 species
UACGUAGGUGGCAAGCGUUGUCCGGAUUUACUGGGCGUAAAGGGCGUGCAGGCGGUUUGUUAAGUCUAGGGUGAAAGCUCCCGGCUCAACUGGGAGAGGUCCUUGGAUACUGGCAGACUUGAGGAGAGUAGAGGAGAGUGGAAUUCCCGGUGUAGUGGUGAUAUGCGUAGAUAUCGGGAGGAACACCAGUGGCGAAGGCGGCCAACUGGACGAAUACUGACGCUGAGACACGAAAGCGUGGGGAGCAAACAGG